rnacentral:rRNA from 1 species
CAGUAGCCGCGGUAAUACGAAGGGCGCAAGCGUUAAUCGGAAUUACUGGGCGUAAAGCGUGCGUAGGCGGUGAGUUAAGUCUGCCGUGAAAUCCCUGGGCUCAACCUGGGAAUUGCAGUGGAUACUGGGUCACUAGAGUGUGGUAGAGGAUAGUGGAAUUUCCGGUGUAGCAGUGAAAUGCGUAGAGAUCGGGAGGAACAUCAGUGGCGAAGGCGGCCAUCUGGGACAACACUGACGCUGAGGCACGAAAGCGUGGGGAGCAAACAGGAUUAGAUACCCCUGUAGUCCCUGUCUCUUAUAA